rnacentral:rRNA from 1 species
UACAGAGGUCUCAAGCGUUGUUCGGAUUCAUUGGGCGUAAAGGGUGUGUAGGUGGCGCGCUAAGUCGGGUGUGAAAUUUCGGAGCUUAACUCCGAAACUGCAUUCGAUACUGGCGUGCUUGAGGACUGGAGAGGAGACUGGAAUUCAUGGUGUAGCAGUGAAAUGCGUAGAGAUCAUGAGGAAGACCAGUGGCGAAGGCGGGUCUCUGGGCAGUUCCUGACACUGAGACACGAAGGCCAGGGGAGCAAACGGGG